rnacentral:sRNA from 1 species
ACGGGGCCGCCUGGAGAGGUGCUGGGAGCUGGGUGGAGCUUAAGAGGAAUUAAACUUUCGCCCUGCGUCUCGUCCAGCCUAGGUUCCACCCUUUUCUGGCAACACUGAAUCUCACUCUGUUGUCCAGGCUGGAGUGCGGUGGCACCAUCUCCGCUCACUGCAACCUCUGGCUCCCAGGUUCAAGCGAUUCUCCUGCCUCAGCCCCCUGAGUAGCUGGGAUUACAGGCGCGCGCCACCACUCCCAG